AUGAGCAGGAGCAGUGAGAGGAGCAGGAGCAGUGAGAGGAGCAGUGAGCGGAGCAGUGAGAGGAGCAGGAGCAGUGAGAGGAGCAGUGAGCGGAGCAGUGAGGGAAGCAGGAGCAGUGAGAGGAGCAGUGAGCGGAGCAGUGAGAUGAGCAGGAGCAGUGAGAGGAGCAGUGAGCGGAGCAGUGAGAGGAGCAGGAGCAGUGAGAGGAGCAGUGAGCGGAGCAGUGAGAGGAGCAGGAGCAGUGAGAGGAGCAGUGAGAGGAGCAGUGAGAGGAGCAGGAGCAGUGAGAGGAGCAGUGAGCGGAGCAGUGAGGGAAGCAGGAGCAGUGAGAGGAGCAGUGAGCGGAGCAGUGAGGGAAGCAGGAGCAGUGAGAGGAGCAGUGAGAGGAGCAGUGAGAGGAGCAGGAGCAGUGAGAGGAGCAGUGAGCGGAGCAGUGAGAGGAGAAGUGAGAGGAGCAGGAGCAGUGAGAGGAGCAGUGAGCGGAGCAGUGAGGGAAGCAGGAGCAGUGAGAGGAGCAGUGAGCGGAGCAGUGAGGGAAGCAGGAGCAGUGAGAGGAGCAGUGAGCGGAGCAGUGAGAUGAGCAGGAGCAGUGAGAGGAGCAGGAGCAGUGAGAGGAGCAGUGAGCGGAGCAGUGAGGGAAGCAGGAGCAGUGAGAGGAGCAGUGAGCGGAGCAGUGAGAUGAGCAGGAGCAGUGAGAGGAGCAGGAGCAGUGAGAGGAGCAGUGAGCGGAGCAGUGAGGGAAGCAGGAGCAGUGAGAGGAGCAGUGAGAGGAGCAGUGAGAGGAGCAGGAGCAGUGAGAGGAGCAGUGAGCGGAGCAGUGAGAGGAGAAGUGAGAGGAGCAGGAGCAGUGAGAGGAGCAGUGAGCGGAGCAGUGAGGGAAGCAGGAGCAGUGAGAGGAGCAGUGAGCGGAGCAGUGAGGGAAGCAGGAGCAGUGAGAGGAGCAGUGAGCGGAGCAGUGAGAGGAGCAGGAGCAGUGAGAGGAGAAGUGAGCGGAGCAGUGAGGGAAGCAGGAGCAGUGAGAGGAGCAGUGAGCGGAGCAGUGAGAGGAGCAGGAGCAGUGAGAGGAGCAGUGAGCGGAGCAGUGAGAGGAGCAGGAGCAGUGAGAGGAGCAGUGAGAGAUUGUUUUUAUUUUACCCCCCCAACUGUAAGCAAUACUGUCAAACCUUUUCUGUUCUAUCAUACCGUGUUUCUACUGUACCUCCUGCUGUAAACAGUAGAGGAAUUUUUUUUUUUACUGGAAUGCUUUUGAAUGUGAACAUUACUGUACAUUUGGACAUACAGUUCCUAACCAAGAAAUUUAGUGUAAAACAGUGA
ensembl:lncRNA